GUCGAUGGAUGGCUUAGUUACUCGACUCCUUCGGGUACCUACAUUGGUAAAGGAAGAGAAUUUAAGUGAUGCUAUUGAAACAUUAGCAAUGGUGACACAGCGAGGAAGAGGAGGAGGUAGGAGCAAUCGAGGAGGAUGUGGUGGUCGAAGUGGACGUCGUCAAUGCUCAUAUUGUAAGAGAAUGGGUCAUACCCAAGAUAAAUGUUAUUUCUUGCAUGGCUUUAGCAGACAAAGCUGCUCAUGUGUCUAAAUCUGAUAAUUCAGAAUCUAGAAUUUCUAAUGAAGAGUACCAAGAGUUUUUGAAGUGGCACAAUCAAAGGAAGGUGUCAUCAUUUCACAAAGAAAAUAUGCUCUUGAUAUUUUGGAGGAAACAUGCCUGACAAGUUGCAAGUCCAUUGAUAGUCCUAUGGACUCAAAGCAAAAGUUAAUGAAAGACCAAGGUGAACUUUUCUCAGACCCAGAGAGAUAUAGAAUGCUUGUUGGAAAACUCAUCUAUCUUACCAUAACAAGACCUGAUCUUUCUUAUCCAGUGGGAAUUGUGAGUCAAUUUAUGCAAAAUCCACAUGUUGAUCAUUGGAAUGCAGUGAUUCGCAUUCUCAGAUAUGUAAAAGGGAACCCAUGACAGGGAUUGUUAUUUGAGGACAAGGGGAGCACUCGUGUUGAGGGAUAUUGUGAUGUAGAUUAGGCUGGUUGUCCAAUUGACAGAUCUACCUCAGGAUAUUGUGUUUUAUUUGGAGGGAAUCUUGUAUCUUGGAAAAGUAAGAAACAAAGUGUUGUUGCUCGAUCUAGUGCUAAAGCUAAGUAUCGAUCUAUGGCUCUAACUACAUGUGAACUUGUGUGGAUUAGACAACUCCUUCAAGAGUUGAAAUUUUGUGAAAAUGAGCAGAUGAAGUUGUACUGUGACAAUCAAGCCACCCUUCACAUUGCCUCCAAUCCAGUGUUUCAUGAAAGAACAACACAUAGAGAUUGAUUGUCAUUUUAUCAGAGAAAAGUUAUUGUCAAAGGAUGUUGUUACUGAGUUUAUCAACUCUAAUGAACAACUCGCAGACAUUCUGACCAAAUCUCUAAGGGGGCCUAGAAUUCAAUUUAUAAGUUCCAAGCUUGGUGCAUAUGAUCUAUAUGCUCCAGCUUGAGGGGGAGUGUUGAAGUAUAAUGUCUUUAUUUUAUUAUUAAUACUUAUGUUAGGGUUUGUUAGGAGGGGCUUCCCACCUUUUUUAUCUUUCAGAACUACUGUCUCUAUAAAUACAAUAGUAAAGUGUAUCAGUUUUACUUAAUCAAAAUAUAAAGACUUUUCAUUUUCUCUAAACUUUAAGUGUAUCCACUUAUAUAUUAUAAAUUUGCCUUAUUUCUAGUCGACAUGAGACUUCUAACAUAUAUACAUCUCAAGCGUGAGACUAGACAUUAAUGGGUGGUCCGAUAACAGCCUGAUAGCGGGUGGAACAAUAUGCCCAACAAACAACAAAUAUCAUUAGGAUAGGCUUUAACUAUAGUUUUGAUACUAUGUUAAGAAGUGGACUUUAAACCUAACUUAACUCCACAAAACCGGCUUGUAAGGUGAAGUUUACACUCACUUAUAUAUUAUAAAUUGGCCUUAUCUCUAGUUGAUGCGGGACUUCCAACAUAAAACACCAACGACUCUUUUAAGAGUAUGAAAAUAACCACUAUGUCCUCCCAUAGGUGUUUCAUGCAGCUCUUUAAUAAUUAUAAAAUUUCUGGAAGAAUGCUAGGCAACACCAAUAUUCCUUGGUAGUACAGGCUCCCUUUUUUGAUCUCGUAAAGAGUGUGUGCAUUAGGGUCUACCAUUAAGUCUGUCAUGAUACUACUUAAUUUGUUACUUUUCUCACCGAGUGGGCAUUAGGGUCUACCAGUAAGUCUGUCAUGAUACUACUUAAUUUGUUACCUUUCUCACCUCGUCUUCCCAGUCUUCCCAAUCUUCCCAUUCUUGGGGCUGCAAAAUAGAGAUGCUACUAAAAUAAGCAAAUCUGGAAUAAUGCAUCAGCCAAUGUGUUCCCUCCAAAGCCACCACUACUGCUUGCGUUCUUUCAACAUUAGAGACUUCUUGCAAACAGAAAUAUCUGUCCAAUCUAUUAGUCCAGCCAAACACAUCUUCUCCUGCAAAGAUUGGAAUGUCGAGUUUACACCACCUUGAACCUCUCGACAUCUACCAAUUUUGCUCAUUUUGACUUAUGGGCUGAAAACGCGUUCUAAUUUGAUCCAGACGUUGCAGUGCAUGUCACCACACUCGACUACCCAUUGAUCAAAUUCUCCAUCCUCUGCAAACGUUCAUUUUGCUCCUUUUCCAAUCUUUCUCCAUCAUGCACAAAUUUUUGAAACAAGCGUUCCAAAGCUUUUAUUCUUGAAUCCAUUCUGGUGUUAACCAUAAGCCUCCUACACUGCUACCACAGGACCAAGAAGGGAGCUCUGAAUACCAUUUGAUAGGGCACUCAGUAGCUACAGAAAGAUCCAAGACAGACUUUUGAAUGAUUUUAUUAUGAAUACAGCUGUUCUGCCAAUGUGGCAGGAAUACAACCCAAGAUGUCUCAGAACACAGUUCUUUUCAGAGGACCCUAACUCUCCCAAUCCCUUUUCCUCCUAAAACUCCAAAAACUAGAAAACUACAGCCUAAAGACAUACUAUAUAUAAUAGUCUGUUUUACAAGGUUACAACUGUAAGAGGUUAUAACUGCCUCCUUUAUUUAUUUCUCCUAGUAUAGACUUUACCACUCAACCUUUUAGAUGGGUACCCAAUAGUAUAUGUUGAUGACAUUGUUCUUACAAACAGUGAUCACCAUGACAUUUCACAGAUGAAACAACAUCUUUGUCAGCACUUUCAGACCAAAAAUCUUGGUAAACUUAGAUAUUUCUUAGGGACUGAGGUAGCACAAUCUAGCAAUGGAAUUGUUUUUAGAAAAGGAAGUAUGCAUUGGAUAUUUUUGGAGAAAUUGGGUUAAUGAGUUCAAUGUUUGUUUAUACACCCAUAGAUCCGAAUGCCAAACUCUUAUUUAGUUAGGGGAAGUCUCUCUCAAAUCUUGAGAAAUAUAAAAGAUUAGUUGGAAAGUUUAAUUAUCUAUAGUUACUCUCCCUGACAUUUCUUUUGCAAAUGGAUAUUCACAUUAAAAUACAAGUCUGAUUGGUUUAUUCAAAGGUACAAAAGCAAGGUUGAUCCCAAGGGAUAGCUUGAAGCGUAUGGAAUAAACUACCAGGAUGCCUUUGCACCAUUUUCUAAAAUGAGUAUUGUUGCCCACUUUGAUUGGAAACUUUACAAUAUGAAGUUAAAAUGUCUUUCUCCAUGCUGACCUAGAAGAAGAAAUCUACAUGAAUAUUCCACCAGGGUUUGAAAGAGAGAAAAAAUAAAGUGUGCACAUUGCGGAAGGCUUUUUAUGGACUGAAACAUUCCCCUAGAUCUUGGUUUGGAAGAUUCACAAAAGGCCUCAACCAUUUGUGAGCUUGUUUGGCUUAAGCAAUUGCCUAGAAAGUUAUAAUUUGGAGAUAUCAUUCAAAUGACACUUAUAUGUAACAAUUAGGCUAUUUUUCAUAUUAGUUCUAAUCUUGUCAUUUAUGAGAGGACCAAACACAUCGAGAUGGACUGUCAUUUCAUUGUGAGAAGAUUGUAUUUGGAGACAUCAAGAUUGAGUUCGUUAACU
rnacentral:lncRNA from 1 species